CUAUAAAGACGUCUACAACUACAUGACUGAAUCGUCCUACUGGUCAGAGCAGGGCAACAUCCUCACCUGGUCCCACAUCAGCUACUCUGUCCAAGGACAUUCGUUUUUGGAGGACUCCUAUGAGGCAACACGAUCAGUCAUGAGAGAAAGUCAGCUGAACAGAGCGGCGAUGUCCAGGGAGCUUCUCGUUGUUGGAAAAACUAAGGCGGCAAAGAAAGAGAUGGCUUAAUACAAGACAUAACAAAUGGAUAAUCACAAAAUCAGAACAUGAUUAAGAAUCUAUAUUUAACCAACAGUGACAAUAUAUUACAUUUCAAUAUUUGAUUUGAUAAAAGCAUUUGAUUCUAUUGCCAAGAUGACAAACUAGUCUCAGUAACAGCUGAAAUGUGAAAACUAAUCCAUUUUUGUUAGUGUGUUUGUUACUCUGUGUGUUACUAAAAAAAACAAUAAAUCUGAUCGCUAGCAGAAAA